UAGGGAAUAUUGGGCAAUGGGCGAGAGCCUGACCCAGCCAUGCCGCGUGCCGGAUGAAGGCCUUCUGGGUUGUAAACGGCUUUUCUCAGGGAAGAAAAAGAGGAUGCGUCCUAAACUGACGGUACCUGAGGAAUAAGCACCGGCUAACUCCGUGCCAGCAGCCGCGGUAAUACGGAGGGUGCAAGCGUUGUCCGGAUUUAUUGGGUUUAAAGGGUGCGUAGGUGGCCCGUUAAGUCCGGGGUGAAAGCCCACAGCUCAACUGUGGAACUGCCCUGGAUACUGGCGGGCUUGAGAGUAGUCGAGGGUGGCGGAAUGGACGGUGUAGCGGUGAAAUGCAUAGAUACCGUCCAGAACCCCAAUUGCGUAGGCAGCUGCCUAGGCUACAUCUGACACUGAGGCACGAAAGCGUGGGGAGCGAACAG
rnacentral:rRNA from 1 species